GAUUGACUUCCACCCAGACCCUCCAACACACGCCCUCUUUCCCCUUUUGGUUGACAUCAGGCAAUAACCUCAGCUGAUUUUGCUUGCCGGCUCUCUCUCCCUUGUGCCUGAAACGUCAGUGUUAUCUCUAAAAUUUCACCAGAAUGCCUACGACUGAGUAAUUUGUAAGGAACAGAAAUGAAUUUGGCUCACAGUUCUGGAGGCUGGGAAGUCCGACAGCAUGAAGUUGGAAGGCCUGCAUGCUGUGUCAUCUCAUGACAGAAGCCAGAGGGCAAGAGGGAGCAGCUCACUCAGGCGAUGACAUUAAUCCACCAACCACCCCUCAUUAGGCCCACCUCCCAAUCCUGUGGCAUAGAGGAUGAAGUUUCCAGCACAUGAAACGUGGUCCCAUCCAAAGCACAGCAUCAUCCCGACAGGUGGGCUGUGUCUAUCUUGCCUGGCAGUGAGUGGAAACCAUCCCGUUUCCAGUUUGAUGGGGGUUUCUCCUCUUGAUUUCUGACAUCUGACAGAGCAGAAGUGACAGAGCAAGUCAACUUAAGCAGCUUUCUUGCAACGUCCGUGUUUUCCCGAGUGUGACCGAGAAGGGGUGACAGCUGAGGGCUGCAUCACCACCUUUGGCAAGGAAAAAAAUGUUUCACGGCUUUUUCCUUGAAUGCAGUCGACCCUGAUUUCUCAGUCCCCCAGGCCCCCAGACUGGGGGCAAGUACAUUCUCAGUGAUUUUGGGGGCUCCCACCCCCGUAGCCAGGUAAGACUUGGUAAAUCUGGUGGAGAGCAAAACAUCUGGAGUUGCAUUUCUCAUCUGCUCUGGCUAGUGGCAACCCUGCUGUCUCAUCACCUACCCAAGCUACAUUUCAAGAGAGUUUGCGAAGCCUGGAGUCCCUGAUGGGCCCCCUUCCCGUGGUGCACACAGCAGCUUUGUGCCCACAGGGGAGAACCUGAAACUCGCCUCUUCUCAUGGGAACAUUACUCUUCUUCACUUACUUUCUCUCCUGUGAAUGUCCCAAUGUCACACCAAAAUACUACUGACCUCUCUCCACUUGACCUGGUGACACCCAGCCUAAUCUCAGAGCAUUGAGAUCAAAGGUUGCUAAUUGGUAGCCUGCCAGAAAGAUACUACCUAUGGCCCUGUUUAAUGGUUUUAUGCCCAUUUUUGUUAUAUAAAAGAGGUAAUUUUGUGUGUCAA